rnacentral:sRNA from 1 species
GCCGGGUGUGGUGGCUCACACCUGUGAUCCUAGCACUUUAGGAGGCAGAGGUGGGUGGAUCACCUGAGGUCAGGAGUUUGAGACCAGCCUGGCCAACAUGGUGAAACCCCAUCUCUA